GGACUACCGGGGUAUCUAAUCCCGUUCGCUCCCCAGGCUUUCGUGCCUCAGCGUCAGUUGCGGCCCAGAAGGUCGCCUUCGCCACCGGUGUUCUUCCGAAUAUCUACGCAUUUCACCGCUACACUCGGAAUUCCACCUUCCCCUACCGCACUCAAGCUGCCCAGUUUCCAGUGCACCACAGGGGUUGAGCCCCUAGCUUUAACACCAGACUUAAACAGCCGCCUACGCACGCUUUACGCCCAAUAAAUCCGAAUAACGCUCGCAUCCUACGUCUUACCGCGGCUGCUGGCAC
rnacentral:rRNA from 1 species